AUUGCAAAGCCACUGAAUUUUAGUCAUAAUUCUGCCCGUUUUCCGUAAAUUGCAAUACGAUUUUAUUAUUUUAAGUUUAUGCAUAUACAUAUAAAACAAAUAUCUUCAGUCACCAUUUGAAGUCUGAGUUGGGUGUAGAUUGCCAAAACUGUGCUGCCAAGAUGUUGUAACAAAUCUCGCGAUAGGAUAGAUCAUCUCGCGAUAGGAUAGAUUAUCUCGCGAUGGGAUAGAUUAGCUCGCAAUACAAUACAUUAUCUCGCGAGAAAACUUUAACACGUUUUUAUCUUUCCAUAACCAGGAGGAGAGCGCGUCGUUGUGUUACAAAGCUUUACGCGUUGAUUUAUUACAAAAUCACUGGUGGUGGAUGCACAACAUGACACCAUCAGCGUCAACAACAUUCGUGGACCCGUGGACACAUGUUGAGGUGGUCACAUAACGAACAUCUGUCAGGCCAUGUGCCACAACCAAACAAGUAUUGUCUCCAGUCCCAAAUGCUUCAUUGCCAUCCCAGUCCCAGAGGACCCCCAGUGUAUGUGAGAAUUUUGCUGUCGCAUCUUAUUUUAUACACAUUAUACCUUAAUACCAACACAGCCUAAUGUAUAAAUACAUACAUUUCUCUGAAUCAGAAUUCAUACAGUUAAAAAUAUAGAGGCUACAAUGUCUGUCAUUGCUCAACAAUAGGUAAAGUACAGCCAGCUAAUUUGACAGUAACUAAUGCAGUAAAAUUGCACAGCAGCCUUAUUACUUUACCUUCACUUAUAGCCAACCCUGGUCCUCGAGAGCCACUGCACUGCUUGUUUUCCAGCUGUCCCUGCCCUUCCAGCUUCUGACUGACAACACACCUGAUCCAUUACUAAUCAGCAGUGAGUAAGGCAUGGAUAGUUGGUAAACAAGCAGAGUCAUGUCAAAUGCUUAAUGGCCAAAUUAAUUUAUGAGGGGUGGUGGCCAACUUUCAAAGCAUUUCAAGGCUACAGCUUUGUACUAUGUAAUUUAAGAUGCUCUGAAGAGGUGGAGUCCAACUGCCACAGACUCCGAAAUUGAUGCAUUAAUGGCGGAACACCUAAAACACGCUCCAGGAAGAGCUGGGGGCGGUGGUUAUAAGAAAUAAGCUGUUUUGAGAGACAUUUACAUGUGUGUUUACAUUAAUCCAGUAUUUUUGUUUUGUACUUGUUUGAUUUAUAGCUGUUUAAAAUUUAAUGCAAAACCGUUUCAAUUAAAAAAAUUGAGUACUGCCACAAUAAUAAUGCUUCUGGAAGAGCAAGUGCUUGUGGAGCAACAAAAUGAUAGUAAACAUUUUGGAAUAAUGAUAAAUAAAUAAAAGAUUAUAAAUAUACAUAUGUGUUCACUUUUAUCUGUUACCUUGGUUAUGUUCUUGUUUGAAUAAUGGCUACUUAAAAUUAAUGUCAAGCUUUGAGAAAAUUGGUGCAUGCUUAGAAUUAACUACAUUAUAUUAUUUCUGUUUUCAUGUUUAAAUAGUAGCUGUUUAACAAAUGGAAGACCUUGAAAAAAAUGUAAUAUGCACAAAAUAUGUUGUAGUAAAUUAGAACGGUCUAAUUCUUGCUUAAGUCCACACAAUGUUUUAUUGUUUGUAAUGUACACGUGAUUAAAACGUUUUGUAGACGUUCA